GGGGCUGACCGGAAUUGACAGCUUGUGCAUGUCGCGAGUAAGCGUGUCGGGAGUUGGAUGAAUCUCCCGUAAAAAAAGCCGUCCGAACAACAACUGGCGAGUAUAGCUACGCCAUGGCUGCUUAGUCUAGGUACUAAGUAAAUGCCAUCGUCCCGCACCCGUAAUCCUUCUCACGGGUGAGUUCGGGGCGUCGUAAGAGGUAGGAUAGUCUUAGGGGCGCUGUGACGCUAAGGCGAAACUCAAACAGAUAAGGACAAACCAAGGGCCUGAUGUGCGCCUGGGAUGUCUCGAAAAUUUAAGCAUAGAUACACACGUAGAAAGCUCGACGCCUUCCUUGUCUGGACCAGGGUUCGAAUCCCUGCAGCUCCACUU
rfam:Hymenobacter psychrotolerans DSM 18569 genome assembly, contig: EJ61DRAFT_scaffold00022.22